CUUCUCUCUAGUUGGGGUGCCUGUGAAACCGGCAGGCUCUCUCCAAAUGCCUGGAUUCUGCUGGGGGAGUAAGAAGUCAGGAGUAGUUUGUCUGAUGGUAUUGGGAUCUGCUUUGCAAUUGCCAAGCGCUAAGGCACAAGCUGGCAGAUGUGCUGCGGCUCUGCUACGGGCGGCUCUGUCGCCUUCAGUCGCAGGCUGGUUCUUUGGGGGAAAGUUGUAUCCAAUAUUGGUGACUCCCGGGAAUAGUCUGUUUGUGUGCUACUUAAUGGUCUCUAGGCUUCCUUGUCUUGUAGAACCUUGUUAGAAAGGAGCCUUGGUGAUUAAGAGGCUAUGGAGUACACAGCCUUGCUUAGCAGAUGAGCCCUUAUCCAUUUCCCGUUUCCUUAAAAACGGCUAAUUGAUGGAUGCUGCAGAAAACAUGCACUCUGCUAAUAAGAUGCUGAUGACAAAAUAGGUAUCAGGAAAGGCAUUUACUGCUUAUGAGCACCAUCAGCUUUCUUUCGAGUGAGAUUGUGGCUUUGUAGUAAAGUUUUUUUUUAAGUAAUAUGCUAAUAGUUUUAUUCUAAAUCGGCCAGCGCUGAAUAUCUUCAGGAAAAUGGGUUCCAUGAGAAGUGACAUCCUCCUCGAAUCAAAAGAUUCUCAGGAUGAUGGAGUGAGUGAUGGAAUAGGUUGCCAACUGUAGUUACUCCACUCAGCACAGAAUGGCUGCGGGGAAAUAUAAUCAGACAUGCCCAAAGAAGUCUGCUUAGGGUGAAACAAAUACCUUUGAGGUUUAAAUCAGAAAGGAAGGAGAGACUGUUUCUACAGGUGUCAUACAAAAAUCAAUACUGAGCCAAGGAUUAUUGGAUCCCAUAGAACCACGGAGACUUGGUAGUGAAAUUCUUCCAAAGCAUUCCAUCCGUGCAGGCAGAUGGUGUUCCUAGGUUUGGAAAUAUAAAUCCCAUGGGAAGUCAGCUGAAGACCAUUUUAUGCAUCACUCAUCCUGUUAGAGCCCUGUGCUGUUCUGUCUCUCUAUAAGACUGGCUGAAACCACCACGGUUGUUUACAAUUUAUGCUCUAACUUUGGAUCACCUAGUUAAUACUCUAACUCCGAUUAUUACCAAAGACAAUGUUCUAUAAAAGAUAUUGUCUAUUAGAAGGAUGCUUCUGCAUUAUUAAUAAAAUCACAGGGAAAAUGCAACAUUUUGGAUGUCACAUCUGAUAAGUUGGCAGUUAAAGAACAGAAACAGCAAUAAGACUGCGUGGCUACAUUUUCCCAGUGCCACCAACUGGGAUUUAAGCUGACUAACAUUUUGAAAGCCCAGCCCAUUUCAUUCACAGCAGGAUGGCAGUGGGUGACUGAUCGUACCCGCCAGCUGGCUAAUGUCAUAAUUAACAAAGUUGCUACUACAUCUGCAAAGUUUAAUCGAAAAAUUUGCCAGUGAUAUGAUGGCCUUGUCACAGAGAUCACAAGGGACACGGAGUUGACUUUUGCUCAAGGUGGAACGACAGAGCUGUGUAGGCAAGAUGAGAAAUUGCGAACUUGUUCGGCCAAAGGAGGCUAAUAAUGAAGGGGCCGGGAAGGAGGCCAGUGCUACCAGGGUUAUCUCACAACCUCAGAUGCUGGAUAAGUCGACGGAGGCAGAAUCGCUUUGGGAUGACAUUCAGAAAGCCUGGAGUGAUUACUUGCAAGAGAAAAGCCUACCUAUUCUUUCCAAGGUGCAGGAAUAUUCCCCUGACCUGCUCAUCCAGUGGUCCAGUAAUGAAUUACUGGAGACCUGCCUUAGACAAAGAAUGCACUCGGAGCCCCAACACACCUAAAGCCAUGCUUUGAAGGAUCUGCCAAGCUCACUUUUAAUCAUGAGAAAGAAAUUACCCACACGGAGUCAGCAGAAAAUGAGAAAGUAGAGCUCGUGCUGUGAAUAAUUCCAGCAAGUGCCAAGGGGCUAGUUGAGGAAUGGCUUCAUGAGAACAUGCUCUAGGGGAACUAUUAAUAGCCCACCAGUCGGGUAGGCAGCAUUCAAUCCUUCUAUGCCUUCUUUCGCCACCUGUUGAGGUCUUUCUUCUGAAACAAAGAAGAAAUAGACAAAUCAGACUUGCCCUCUUGGAAAUGUGGUCCAGAUUUCUCUACUCCCAAGCUCCAAAAAAGGUAUACAUUGGAUGGGCUAGAUCAACUCCUCCUGAGAGCCAUAAAUCCGCCAAGAGUUGUUUUCCAUGUAAGGGUGUGGUACAAUGGGGAACACCUGAUGUUGGAGGAAAGCAGGAGGACUUUAGAGUGGAGUUGCAUUCUAAUCUCUCUGCCGCUUCAACUAUGUGACCUGGGGCAAAUGAUAUAAACUCUAUGAGCCUCUUUCCUUAUCUUUAAAAUGAAGAGAAGUAAUACCUACCUUGUAGGGCUGUUGUGAGGAUUAAAUGAAGUAAUGCAUACAGUGCCUAACAAAGUAUUUAACAUCAUAUUUUUUAAAAGCUCAUGAAAUAUUAGUUUUUCUUCCUUCCCCUCUUUCUAUUUUCUCUCCUGUUCCCUUUUCUCUCCCUCCUCUGCCCUCUCCUUCCUUCAGAUGUUAGUCUAAAACAGCACCUUGGAUCUAAGCAGCACCUUUGAGAAAGAAAAGACUGCUUCAAGAAUGUCUAGUUGCACCUCCUUUCCGUAUGUGGCCUAAAUGCCUAGGUUGGAUCAAUAGUUUAAUUUUUUUAUUGAACUGUUUAAUAUUGACUAUGGACUUACAUUCACUUUUACUGUUUUCUGUAUAUUUACUUUUGCUUGAAGUGUUUUAAUAUUGACUAUUUACCUCUGCUCAUUUUUAUUGAUUUUCUGUAUUUUUUCAAUGAAAAUUAUAAUAAAAAUUAUUUUUGUUA
rnacentral:lncRNA from 1 species